rnacentral:rRNA from 1 species
AAUAGAUACCCCGGUAGUCCACGCCCUAAACGAUGCGAACUGGAUGUUGGGUUCGACUUGGAACCCAGUAUCGAAGCUAACGCGUUAAGUUCGCCGCCUGGGGAGUACGGUCGCAAGACUGAAACUCAAAGGAAUUGACGGGGGCCCGCACAAGCGGUGGAGUAUGUGGUUUAAUUCGAUGCAACGCGAAGAACCUUACCUGGUCUUGACAUCCACGGAACUUUCCAGAGAUGGAUUGGUGCCUUCGGGAACCGUGAGACAGGUGCUGCAUGGCUGUCGUCAGCUCGUGUCGUGAGAUGUUGGGUUAAGUCCCGCAACGAGCGCAACCCUUGUCCUUAGUUGCCAGCACGUAAUGGUGGGAACUCUAAGGAGACCGCCGGUGACAAACCGGAGGAAGGUGGGAUGACGUCAAGUCAUCAUGGCCCUUACGACCAGGGCUACACACGUACUACAAUGGUGGGGACAGAGGGCUGCAAUCCCGCGAGGGUGAGCCAAUCCCAGAAACCCCAUCUCAGUCCGGAUCGGAGUCUGCAACUCGACU